rnacentral:misc_RNA from 1 species
UCUCCGUAGGUGAACCUGCGGAGGGAUCAUUACAGAGUUCUCGCCCUCGCGGGUAGAUCUCCCACCCACUGUUAUCGUUACUGUGUUGCUUUGGCGGGCCGCCGGGCCCCGCUCGGCCGCCGGCUCCGGCUGGCGCGCGCCCGCCAGAGGCCCAGCAAACUCUGAAUGUUAGUGUCGUCUGAGUACUAUAUAAUAGUUAAAACUUCCAACAACGGAUCUCUUGGUUCUG